GUAGGGUCAUUCCAAAGUGAGUCUUAUCCAUUUUUUAUAAAAAUUAAGUUGGCACUGAAUAGCGCUGUAACAUUGAUUUUGACAUACUAUUAUAACAAAAUACUGUGGCAAAUCGCUUCUUGUUCUAUAUAAAAUAAGUCUAAAUAUUGCGCAUCUUUUCAAAAUGCGCGUUAUCCACGAGCAGUGUCAUCUCAAAGCGAACCUUAUCCUUUCCAGCCAAUGGCUGCCUCCGAUUUUUAACCACGUAAUCGUUUAGACGUUUUAACUUGCGUGAUUAGGUUAGGUUAUUUUACUGUUUAUUAUUAAAAGAGUGUAAAUUUUGUAUACUUAAUUAGUGAAGUAAAACCUAAUUAUUGUUCUUACCGACAAAGUACGUGUUUAAUAUUUUAAACUGUUAUGUAAGAAGCACCAACCUAAAGAAGUACUAAAAGGUUGUGGCAAAAAGAAGGUUUCUAAUCCAAAACUGUGGGCAAAAAUACAAAAAAAAAUAACAGAUAUGCAGCAAAGAGAGAUUACUGCGAAAGUUAUUUUCCAGAACCUGCUGAAUUAAGAGUUUAAUAACGAAUUGGUUAUUAGUUUUAGCUUUAGUUACUAAAAAAUGUGUUUAGUGUUUUUGUUUUUUAGCUUAUGUGACCAUAACAUUAUUGUUAUUUUAGCCAAAAUCUGUUUUAGGUAUAAGAUUAUUGUUUCGAAUAAAAAUAUUCGUUCACACUACUUCCUUUGUCUACAUUAUUGUUAUUCCAAAAA
rnacentral:lncRNA from 1 species